CAUAUGCUUGUCUCAAAGAUUAAGCCAUGCAUGUCUAAGUAUAAGCAAUUAUACCGCGAAACUGCGAAUGGCUCAUUAUAUAAGUUAUCGUUUAUUUGAUAAUACUUUACUACUUGGAUAACCGUGGUAAUUCUAGAGCUAAUACAUGCUAAAAAUCCCGACUUCGGAAGGGUUGUAUUUAUUAGAUUAAAAACCAAUGCCCCUCGGGGCUCUCUGGUGAAUCAUGAUAACUAGUCGAAUCGACAGGCCUUGUGCCGGCGAUGGCUCAUUCAAAUUUCUUCCCUAUCAACUUUCGAUGUUUGGGUAUUGUCCAAACAUGGUGGCAACGGGUAACGGAGGGUUAGGGCUCGACCCCGGAGAAGGAGCCUGAGAAACGGCUACUACAUCCAAGGAAGGCAGCAGGCGCGCUAAUUACCCAAUCCCGACACGGGGAGGUAGUGACAAUAAAUACUGAUACAGGGCUCUUUUGGGUCUUGUAAUCGGAAUGAGUACAAUUUAAAUCCCUUAACGAGGAACAAUU
rnacentral:rRNA from 1 species